UGGGAUGUAGCCAAGAGGUUUAAGGCAACGGGUUUUGAUCCCGUGAUUCCUAGGUUCAAAUCCUAGCAUCCCAG
rnacentral:tRNA from 1 species